rnacentral:rRNA from 1 species
UGGGGAAUAUUGCACAAUGGGCGCAAGCCUGAUGCAGCCAUGCCGCGUGUGUGAAGAAGGCCUUCGGGUUGUAAAGCACUUUCAGCGGGGAGGAAGGCGAUAAGGUUAAUAACCUUGUCGAUUGACGUUACCCGCAGAAGAAGCACCGGCUAACUCCGUGCCAGCAGCCGCGGUAAUACGGAGGGUGCAAGCGUUAAACGGAAUUACUGGGCGUAAAGCGCACGCAGGCGGUCUGUCAAGUCGGAUGUGAAAUCCCCGGGCUUAACCUGGGAACUGCAUUGGAAACUGGCAGGCUAGAGUCUUGUAGAGGGGGGUAGAAUUCCAGGUGUAGCGGUGAAAUGCGUAGAGAUCUGGAGGAAUACCGGUGGCGAAGGCGGCCCCCUGGACAAAGACUGACGCUCAGGUGCGAAAGCGUGGGGAGCAAACAGG